CAACAAUGAUGUUAUUUCUUAGGACACCUUUGGAUGACAAUUGUCAUGUGAAAAGAACUUUGUACUGAGCUUA
rfam:Cyphomyrmex costatus contig18182, whole genome shotgun sequence.